rnacentral:tRNA from 1 species
ACCUAGUUAGCUCAGUUGGUAGUGCGUCUGCCUUGUAAGCGCUAGGCCGCGGGUUCGAUUCCCGCCCGGGGCG